UACGUAGGUGGCAAGCGUUGUCCGGAUUUACUGGGCGUAAAGAGCGCGCAGGCGGUCGUGCAAGUCGCGUGUGAAAGCCCCCGGCUCAUCUGGGGAGGGUCACGCGAUACUGCUCGACUUGAAGGCAGGAGAGGGAAGUGGAAUUCCCGGUGUAGUGGUGAAAUGCGUAGAUAUCGGGAGGAACACCAGUGGCGAAGGCGACUUCCUGGCCUGUUCUUGACGCUGAGGCGCGAAAGCUAGGGUAGCAAACGGG
rnacentral:rRNA from 1 species